rnacentral:rRNA from 1 species
CCUACGAGUGGCAGCAGUGGGGAAUAUUGCGCAAUGGGCGAAAGCCUGACGCAGCGACGCCGCGUGAGGGAUGAAGGUCUUCGGAUCGUAAACCUCUGUCAGCAGGGAAGAACGGUCACUGUGCUAAUCAGCAGUGAAUUGCUGGUCCCUGCAACGGAAGCACCCGCAAACUCCGUGCCAGCAGCCGCGGUUAUACGGAGGGUGAGAGCGUUAAUCGGAAUUGUUGGGCGUAAGGCGCUCGUAGGCGGUAGGUCAAGUCAAGGGUGAAAUCCCCGCGCUCAACGUGGGAACUGCCUUUGAAACUGGCAAGCUGGAGUGUGGGAGAGGAUAGUGGAAUUCCAGGUGUAGGAGUGAAAUCCGUAGAUAUCUGGAGGAACAUCAGUGGCGAAGGCGACUAUCUGGCACAUAACUGACGCUGAGGAGCGAAAGCGUGGGUAGCAAACAGGAUUAGAUACCCUGGUAGUC